rnacentral:rRNA from 1 species
GACGAACGCUGGCGGCGUGCUUAACACAUGCAAGUCGAACGGAAAGGCCCUGCUUUUGUGGGGUGCUCGAGUGGCGAACGGGUUAGUAACACGUGAGUAACCUGCCCUUGACUUUGGGAUAACUUCAGGAAACUGGGGCUAAUACCGGAUAGGAGCUCCUGCUGCAUGGUGGGGGUUGGAAAGUUUCGGCGGUUGGGGAUGGACUCGCGGCUUAUCAGCUUGUUGGUGGGGGAGUGGCUUACCAAGGCUUUGACGGGUAGCCGGCCUGAGAGGGUGACCGGCGACAUUGGGACUGAGAGACGGCCCAGACUCCUACGGGAGGCAGCAGGGGGGAAUAUUGCACAAUGGGCGGAAGCCUGAUGCAGCAACGCCGCGUGCGGGAUGACGGCCUUCGGGUUGUAAACCGCUUUCGCCUGUGACGAAGCGUGAGUGACGGUAAUGGGUAAAGAAGCACCGGCUAACUACGUG